AUACGUCCACAUCACGUUGAAACACCGGUUCCCGUACGAUUAUCGAAGUUAAGCAACGUUGAAUUUGGUCAGUACCUAGAUGGGUGACCGCUUGGGAAUACCAGGUAUUGUAC